GACGAACCGUGCGAACGUUGUUCGGAAUCACUGGGCUUAAAGGGCGCGUAGGCGGCCCGCCGCGUCCGGGGUGAAAUCCUCCCGCUCAACGGGAGAACGGCCUCGGAUACGGGCGGGCUGGAGGGGGGUAGGGGCAGGCGGAACUGUGGGUGGAGCGGUGAAAUGCGUUGAGAUCCACAGGAACUCCGGUGGCGAAGGCGGCCUACUGGACCCCAUCUGACGCUGAGGCGCGAAAGCCAGGGGAGCGAACGGG
rnacentral:rRNA from 1 species